GCAAGUCGAGCGAGAAAGCCACCUUCGGGUGGUGAGUAAAGCGGCGCACGGGUGAGUAACGCGUGGAUAAUCUACCUGUAGGUCGGGGAUAACUCCGGGAAACUGGAGCUAAUACCGGAUAAGACCACGGGGUCUUUGGAUCUUGCGGGAAAAGGUGGCCUCUUCUUGAAAGCUACCGCCUAUUGAUGAGUCCGCGUCCCAUUAGCUUGUUGGUGAGGUAAAGGCUCACCAAGGCUUCGAUGGGUAGCUGGUCUGAGAGGAUGAUC
rnacentral:rRNA from 1 species